AUAAACGCUGGCGGCGCACAUAAGACAUGCAAGUUGAACGGACUUAAUCGAAAUAUUUAUAUUUUGAAGCGGUUAGUGGCGGACUGGUGAGUAACGCGUAAGGAACCUGCCUAUUAGAGGGGAAUAACAGUGAGAAAUCAUUGCUAAUACCGCAUAUGCCAUAGAUAUCACAUGAUAACAGUGGGAAAGGAGCAAUCCGCUAAUAGAUGGCCUUGCGUCUGAUUAGAUAGUUGGUGGGGUAACGGCCUACCAAGUCGACGAUCAGUAGCCGGACUGAGAGGUUGAACGGCCACAUGGGGACUGAGAUACGGCCCAGACUCCUACGGGAGGCAGCAGUCGGGAAUAUUGCGCAAUGGAGGAAACUCUGACGCAGUGACGCCGCGUAUAGGAAGAAGGUUUUCGGAUUGUAAACUAUUGUCGUUAGGGAAGAGAAAGGACAGUACCUAAGGAGGAAGCUCCGGCUAACUACGUG
rnacentral:rRNA from 1 species